AGAGUUUGAUCCUGGCUCAGAUUGAACGCUGGCGGCAUGCUUUACACAUGCAAGUCGAACGGCAGCACAGGGAGCUUGCUCCCGGGUGGCGAGUGGCGCACGGGUGAGUAAUACAUCGGAACGUGUCCUGUUGUGGGGGAUAACUGCUCGAAAGGGUGGCUAAUACCGCAUGAGACCUGAGGGUGAAAGCGGGGGAUCGCAAGACCUCGCGCAAUUGGAGCGGCCGAUGCCCGAUUAGCUAGUUGGUGAGGUAACGGCUCACCAAGGCGACGAUACAUAGGGGGACUGAGAGGUCAACCCCCCACAUUGGUACUGAGACACGGACCAAACUCCUACGGGAGGCAGCAGUGAGGAAUAUUGGUCAAUGGCCGAGAGGCUGAACCAGCCAAGUCGCGUGAGGGAUGAAGGUUCUAUGGAUCGUAAACCUCUUUUAUAAGGGAAUAAAGUGCGGGACGUGUCCCGUUUUGUAUGUACCUUAUGAAUAAGGAUCGGCUAACUCCGUGCCAGCAGCCGCGGUAAUACGGAGGAUCCGAGCGUUAUCCGGAUUUAUUGGGUUUAAAGGGAGCGUAGGUGGAUUGUUAAGUCAGUUGUGAAAGUUUGCGGCUCAACCGUAAAAUUGCAGUUGAUACUGGCAGUCUUGAGUGCAGUAGAGGUGGGCGGAAUUCGUGGUGUAGCGGUGAAAUGCUUAGAUAUCACGAAGAACUCCGAUUGCGAAGGCAGCUCACUGGAGCGCAACUGACGCUGAAGCUCGAAAGUGCGGGUAUCGAACAGGAUUAGAUACCCUGGUAGUCCGCACGGUAAACGAUGGAUGCCCGCUGUUGGUCUGAAUAGGUCAGCGGCCAAGCGAAAGCAUUAAGCAUCCCACCUGGGGAGUACGCCGGCAACGGUGAAACUCAAAGGAAUUGACGGGGGCCCG
rnacentral:rRNA from 1 species